GGAAGCGAUCAUACCAGCACUAAAGCACCGGAUCCCAUCAGAACCCUGAAGUUAAGCGUGCUUGGGCGAGAGUAGUACAAGGAUGGGUGACCUCCUGGGAAGUCCUCGUGUUGCAUUCC
rnacentral:rRNA from 1 species